rnacentral:rRNA from 1 species
GGUUAAGCGACUAAGCGUACACGGUGGAUGCCCUGGCAGUCAGAGGCGAUGAAGGACGUGCUAAUCUGCGAAAAGCGCCGGCGAGGUGAUAUGAACCUUUGACCCGGCGAUGUCCGAAUGGGGAAACCCAGUGUGUUCCGACACACUAUCGUUAACUGAAUACAUAGGUUAACGAGGCGAACCGGGGGAACUGAAACAUCUAAGUACCCCGAGGAAAAGAAAUCAACCGAGAUUCCCCCAGUAGCGGCGAGCGAACGGGGAGCAGCCCAGAGUCUGAAUCAGCUUGUGUGUUAGUGGAACGGUCUGGAAAGUCCGACGGUACAGGGUGAUAGUCCCGUACACGAAAAURCACAGGUUGUGAACUCGAAGAGUAGGGCGGGACACGUGGUAUCCUGUCUGAAUAUGGGGGGACCAUCCUCCAAGGCUAAAUACUCCUGACUGACCGAUAGUGAACCAGUACCGUGAGGGAAAGGCGAAAAGAACCCCGGCGAGGGGAGUGAAAAAGAACCUGAAACCGUGUACGUACAAGCAGUGGGAGCACCUUCGGGUGUGACUGCGUACCUUUUGUAUAAUGGGUCAGCGACUUAUAUUCUGUAGCAAGGUUAACCGUAUAGGGGAGCCGAAGGGAAACCGAGUCUUAACU